rnacentral:tRNA from 1 species
CAAAAAAUAGUUUAAAUAAAAUAAUAAUUUUGGAAAUUAUUGAUAUAAAUUAAAAUAUUAUUUUUUUGA